AAUUUGUAUUUUUGGAGUCAUAGCAUAACACACCCACCGACCCACAUUUGUAUUUUUGAAUAUGAACGUAUGUACAUAUAUAUAUAUAUCCAGAUUUGUAAAAUAUAAGUAAUGUAAAACAAGAAAGUAAGAGCAACUUUUUUCUCUUGAAAAAAAGAAAGACUCUAUAACCAUGUCAUUACUGUAUAUUAGCGAAAUACGUUUUCAUUAUAUCAAAUUAGAUUAAAAUAAACGCUUAUAUUGUAUCAAUUAAAUGUUGGAAUCUGUUUGUCAUAUGGAAAACAGAAUUGGUUUGAAUGAAGGUUCAAAGUGCACCAUCGAUUAGAUAAUAAAUUGAUUAAGAGUUGUAGAGAAACAGAGCCAACCAGAGGGGUCAGCGGUAAAUUUGAAGACAUAUAACACUAAAAUCCACAAUCGAUUAGAUAAUAAAUUGAUUAAGAGUUGUAUAGAAACAGAGCCAACCAGAGGGGUCAGCGGUAAAUUUGAAGACAUAUAACACUAAAAUCCAGAUUCGGAUACCCGUGGUGAAUAUAGCACAUAUAGCCAAUUGUGUAACUUUGCGCUUAGCAACAAAAAAUGAAUAAAAAAUAACUUGAUGAAAAUACCUAUGAAAGUCUACACUUAGUGCAGUGAGUUUUGAUAUUCUAAUAAAAAUGGCUUACUUUGUCGAACAAGUUCCUUUGAGCCCAAACGUCAUUUAGUUUUUAAUUCCUACUAUCCAAAUGAGACUUCAUGUAGCUCCAGAAUUGAACAGGUGGUCUUUUCUUUCAGUAAGAAUGGCAAAAAUUGUUUACUGGUAUAUCGAAAUUAAGCUUUCUAAAGUAGUUUGUUUUUAUCAGUAAACUAACUGUUUUUUUUUAAUAUUUAGAUUAACUUGAGCAAAAACCAGAUGGAGAAUGACUACCUACCUUUGUUGGAAAGUGGGGAAGAACAAAAAAGAGGCUAAAUCUACCUAUCAAACCUAAGAUAUGAACACCGUGGUUUCUAUGACAACAUCUUCAAUCAUAUCUCUGUUUCUUAUAAUCUUUGCCAUCCAAAUACCAGAAGGACUGGCUAUCAACUGUUAUACGUGCAGUUCCCGCAAUGGGACUGACCCCGACUGUCACGACCCUUUCAACCCUGCUAACAGUACCUAUACUGAAAAUUGUAUGGUACCAAAAGAAGGUCACGUUGGGUGGUUUCCUGCAAACUUCUGUCUUAAAGUGAUUGGCAUGACAGGUAUUAGUAACGUGGAGUUAGUGAUCCGUGCGUGUGUCUUGGAGACCAUGCAUAACCAAUGUGGACAGUUCAAGUACGAAGAUGACACUUUACACGGAUGUGUCCUCACCUGCGAUUACGAUGCCUGCAAUGGAAAGCCAUACCUGUCUCCUGGUGGUGAUUUUCUUCAACUCCACUUAGUGGCGCUUGUAAUAAUAGGUUGGAACUGGAAAAGCUAAAAUGGUUUUUCUGUGGCUGUGAAUAUUUGUUGAUUAGUUUACACAAUGCCAAAGGAAAAGUAAAGUUAUUGAAGGCAAGUUUUGUGGAAAAAUUGGUCCAUUCAUUGUUCACAAGACUGCAGGAAAGGAAAGUGUUACAAUGGACCCACAUGUAGAGCAUGGCUUUGUAAUAGAGAUCUAUGUUGUACAACUGACGAAACUUCUAAUCACAUUUCAAACGUUUUAGAUGUUAAAGUCUAUAAAAAAUUUGUUUCAGAAUAAAUAAGACCGAAUAAUAAUGUAUUCGUCGGGUCCAAAAACUGGUGUAUGAAUUUUGCCGUUUUCAGGGAAGAUGUAAAAAGUUCCAUGUUAGUUUAAAGAAGUAAAUAAAUCAAGUCAUAAAAUAACUUGAAGUGUGAAGUAAACUAUAAAAAAGAUGAAACUAUAAUAAUCAAACUACGUUUUAGAACUAUAUUUUUGCGUCAAACCAUGAGUGUUACAUCAGUGUAAUUUACAUUUUAAUUUUUCAAAUCUGUGUUAUAUGUGGGUCAACAUUUACAGUGAAUACGUGACUCUCCGUGUAAAUUCGAUCGUUUAAAGUUGGUUAGCUUUUUUUUUGUAUUGAUUAAAUCACCUUCUCGAUUCGUUAGAAUCACCUGACAUGCUUUCACAAAAACUGUUUUAUUUUAUUGAUACAUAUACAGUUAUCUAACUCUGAUUGAUUUCGUAAAUUAGUUGAACGGUUUCUUCUGACACGAACUUGAACGUAUUCGUUUGUUAUAGGGUUUCUUUUUCGCUUUAACAUUUUCAGAAUUAUUUUGAUGUACUAUCACUACAACAGGGCCAGUAAAUAAAUAUGUUCUAAAUUUUUCAUGUUCAAAAAUCUAAAACUGGCAUGUUAAAAUAUCUAAUAAAUCAUUAUUUGUAUUCGUCGUUCACAGACCUAAAAAAAUUCCAGUAUUGAAUAAGUCUAAACUUAAGUACUCAUAAGUAUGCAGAGAGGGCCCCUCUGGCUAACAAGUUUACUUAGCUUCUACGAACUUUAUAGGCCUGAUUUCCAUUCGGUCCACAUCGCUCCAUUGGUAGUAAAAACAUCAGCUGUUUAUACCGUAUUUGUCAUGUUGUGCUUGCUGUAUGUUAAGUUACUAUAGUCUUAUGAAGCUAGGCGGUUUGUCUACAAUGCUAUUGGUUGUUAGCAUGGAUAAAAUGUCUUACAAACAGUCUGUAUAUAAAGUUCAAGUCCAACCGAUAUCCUCGGCUUGUCUUAGUAAAUGCGGACUUGUGUAUUGUUUAUUGCUUUACUUCUUUUUUUUUCCGGCGAUUAAUCUUUGUUUUACAAUAGGAUAACUUUAUGGAGUAUUCAAGUUGUGCGUGCUUUGAUGAACAAUAAGAAACUUUGUUUCUGUACAUCGGUUAACUAAUCUAGAAACAGUUACAAUAAACUAUGAAAGUAAUAACACUGAGUGUUAGUUAAUUAAACUCCUUAUUGCUCGGAACGUUGUUUUCCAUAGAAGUUUAUUUUUUAGCCUCGAAGAGAAUAACAGAUCGCAGUACUUUCUUUUUGAUUUUACAGGAUCAACAGACAAAAUUGUUCGUAUUGGUUAUAUUUGGGUCAAAAUUAACUAAUUAUCACAUAGAAGUAAACUGCGGUUAUUUACACUUAUGACGGUGUCGCAUUGUUGUCUAUGGUCUUUUGCUUAAACUUAUAGUAAUGACACAUUGUUGUAUACGGUUUGUCACUUAAACUCAUUGUAAUGGCACAUUGUUGUACAUGGUCUGUCACUUAAACUUAUAGUAGUGACACAUUGUUGUAUACGGUUUGUCACUUAAACUCAUUGUAAUGGCACAUUGUUGUACAUGGUCUGUCACUUAAAGUUAUAGUAGUGACACAUUGUUCUAUACGGUUUGUUUGAAUUAACUGACCUGAUUUCUUUUCGAUAUGAUGAGGAUUCUCAAAACGAAAUUCAAUCAUGUAAUUAAUAAAGUUUUUAUUGUAGAUACAAUUUGGAGUGAAAAUAAUGCAGGAAUUGGUGUUUAUAUAUAUAUAUAUAUAAUACUUGUUUUCACCUGCAAUUUGCAGCUAUACAGAAGGAAAUUUCGAAACAAAUGUUAAGUUCGGAUUGAAAAUAUUUUAUUGCAAAAGAAAUAAUUUGUUUCUAAUAUUUCCUAUACUUUUCAACAUGUAUUUUACUUGUGUUGUGUGGUGGGCAUUUAAAAUGAGGCAUUUGACAGUUACUUAUAUUUACUCUGCGGACUUACAACGCUAGAAACCGGGUUUCGACACCCGUGGUGGGCAGAGCACAGAUAGCCCAUUGUGUAGCUUUGUGCUUAAUUACAAACAAACAAUACUUAUAUUUACACUACGUUUAAAUGUAACAUGUAACUGCAAAUUCAUUUCAUUGUAAAGUAAUAACUUUUGUACAUCUAUACAAAUUAUUACGUAAUAUAUAUAUAUAUAUAUAUAACUAUUUGUGUAAUAAUAAUUUUACUGUCAAUAACAAGAGAACACAGUGUUUAACAACUAUUCAUGAUUCGAAUAAAAACUAAAUUAUUGAUGAUAAUUGUGUCGCGAAAGUAAAAAAAAAUAAAGAAGCAGAAUCUUAAUAGAGGCACACAAAAUAUUUUUAUGACAGGCAAUAUUACGAUUUAUGAUGAACAAUGAAGGUUUUACAUGUGAAGCAUUCCGUAACGAGAACGUGUCUAGACGUGUUAAGAAUUGUUGGUGUGUCACAGAGCCUCAAGGUGCUGAAGAUCUUUGUUUUAAUAGAAAAUUCGUCCUAGGUUUUGAUUUGGAUGAUCUACUACUGUGGAUUGUUUGUAUCCGAAUUUCAGUUUUUUGAAAACGUGCUAUUUGAAAUGUAUAUAUUACCUGUAGUUUGCAUAGCUGGUGGUCACUGGCAAUGUUUAAAGACAAUUAUCUGUCCUGUCACAACCGGAAUGUGGUUGUUUCUAAUUUAUAGGCAGAUAAUUAGAUGUUUUCAUUGAAGGUUGGAAUGGAAACGUACAAGAAAAUUGAUUGGCUAUCUCGAUGCUAAAAGGAGAGUGUUUUCCCAUUUAACUUUAUUUAUUCACGAAAAACGAAAUUAAAUAUAUGUUCUCCGAAUAGUUCCGAGUGUUGACUAAACAAAUUGUUGUAUCUAUUUAUAUAUAUAUAUAUUGCUUUAGUAACAUCCGCUGUAGAUUAUUUUUAAACAAAUUAUCCUAAAAUUUUCGAGUGCCUUAGCUUAGGCUAUAUUUUCAGUUCAUUUUGAGGUUUUUGCUAUUGAACGUAUUUUGUUAAACACUACACUUUCCAGUUGUUUAAAGUAUUAGUAAUCUUAAGUGGAUUAGUAACUGUAGCGUAAGUUCGUUAAUGAGUAUAUAUAUUUCAAAGACAUACGUGUAACGCCAGUUUAAAAAGGAUAAGCAAACGCCUCUUGUGAUUAAACUGAGGACUUAAGUUUUCAUUUUUGAAACUAAAUUUAUAACCAUUGUAGUGGAUUAAGUUGUCUUAAGAUUUCACUUGCCACCAAUAAUAGAAGAGCGUGAUCUAAAACGUAGAUGACUAUGAUUAGAGCGAUUUAACACUUUGCUUGUAAAGAAAGGCGAGUUCGUAUUAUACAUAAAUUUUGUAAUUGAGAGUAAAGAAUAAUAAUCACUUCUCAUAGAAUUAUGUUCUUUAAAAAAAGAGAUAAAUAAAUACUUUAAAAUCGCUAUAAUAAUAUAGUCUUGCUGCACGGGUUAACUUAAUGGAUUAACCGUACAGAUUUAACGCUACAAAGAUAAUGUAAAAAGCCUUGCUCCCUGAGCUAAGCCUAAUAAAUUAACAUUGCAUAUCUAACGCUACAGAGAAAUAAUAAAAUAAGCCUUACUACAUGAAUUAAUCCUGAUAAAUCAAACGUAUACAUUUAAUGAUACAAAGACAAUAAUGUUGAAAACCUUGUUCCACAUGUUAAUCCUAAUAAAUUAAUCCCACAUACCUAACAUUACAGAGAUAAUAAUAUCAAAAUCCUUAUUGCAUGGAUUAAUUCUAAAGCUUCGAAUACAUUCACCCAGAUCUAACACGUGAGGAAAAAUAAUAAAUACAGAUGCACUACAAAAUAAUAAGAGGAUAAACACAGAAACACCACAAGAUGUUAACGGGAUAGAAUCAAAAUAUAGAUUUAGUACAAAAUAAUAAUAGGUGAGAUAAUAGCGAAAUAAAUGUGCACUAUAAAAUAAUAACAGGUAAAAUAAUAGCUAAAUACAGAUUCUUUACAAAAUAAUAACAGUCUGUAUGUAGAAGAGGUGAGAUAAUAGUAAAUAAAGUGCACUACAAAAUAUAAACAGGAAAUACAAUAGUAAAUAAAGUGCACUACAAAAUAUAAACAGGAAAUAUAAUAGUCAAUAAAGUGCACUACAAAAUAUAAACAGGAAAUAUAAUAGUAAAUAAAGUGCACUACAAAAUAAAAUAGGAGAGAAAAAUAGUAAAUAAUGUGCACUACAAAAUAGAACAGGAAAUAUAAUAGUAAAUAAAGUGCACUACAAAAUAAAACAGGAAAGAUAUUAGUCUUUGGGUAAAGGCGCUAUAAAAGAACUACUUUAUUAGUAGGAAGACAUUAUAGUACGCAAUGUUUAUUAAAUAUUCGAUUUCAAAACGCAAGCAUGUUUAUUAAGUGUGUAAAAAUAAAUCUUAAGUUCUCUAUCGUGUUCUUCUUGUUUCUUCCAUUAUUAAACACCUCGUACUCUAGAUAACAAACACAAAAUCACACCUGUAAGAAUGCCUUAACAUCAAUGAUGGGUGUGACCUAAUGAUUAGUGUGGCAGACUAUAGGUCGAAAGGUCCAAGAUUCGAGUCCGCAAAAUGCUGCUGAACACUUUCAGCUAUGAGCGUUAUUUAACUGAUUAUGUUCGUGUUAGAGGCUGUUGACUGGUUACACUAUUUGAUUAAUUAUGUUCGUGUUAAAGGCUGUUGACUGGUUACGCUAUUUGAUCAAUUAUGUUCGUGUUAGAGGCUGUUGACUGGUUACCUUUCGUAUUUACAGCAUUUGUAAAUCGUUCGCAAUCUGCAGGUUGCGGGUUCCAAUCCCAUUACCGAGUAUAUCUGCUCUUUCAGACGUGGUGGUGUUUUAGUAUGACGGUAAGUCUCACUAUUCGAUUGGUCUAUCACGUGUAUAUUAGAAACAGCUAAAGCAGAUAGCCCUGGAGCAGCUUUGCGCGAAAUUCAACAAAAGAACAAAGAGAUUUAACCUUGGGGUCACUGAUCUGGCCUUUUAGCCCAUGUGUCACACGAAGUACGAAAUACCUUAAAUUAAACGCAUGUCACAAAAAUCUGCAUUAUUUCACUUCAAAUAAUCUCGAAAGAUAAUCAUUUCCAGAGAACCUAACCUGUAAUUUCAAACAUUGUAAAUACGCACUAAAGACGAGAUUUGGCAUUUAACUAUUUGAAAUGAUGCUGUGUUGCAUUAAAGAUUACAAACAGGCAAAAUGGUUCACUGUAUCGCAUUAAGUAUCAUAAACAGACUCAUAAUAAACAAAACUUACGGUGAAUUGAAAGAUAAAAAAAAACAAUUAUGAAUAUAAAUUAACAAAGAAGAUAAAAAACAACAACUAAUAUUGUAAUGUAAAAUGAAUCUACUUAAUUGUAUGAUAUAACAAUACAUACUUUCUUUGAAUCCAUGAAUCUACUUAAUUGUAUGAUAUAACAAUACAUACUUUCUUUGAAUCCAUGAAUCUACUUAAUUGUAUGAUAUAACAAUACAUACUUUCUUUGAAUCCAUGAAUCUACUUAAUUGUAUGAUAUAACAAUACAUACUUUCUUUGAAUCCAUGAAUCUACUUAAUUGUAUGAUAUAACAAUACAUACUUUCUUUGAAUCCAAUUAUAUCAACACUCUCAUCGUUUUUACAAACAGUCCGACUUGAAAUUUAUUUUCUACAGAGAAUGUAAUUUCUAAGGGCUGCGGAUUGGCCUGUGUAGAGCUCUAGAUUUUGAAUCUGGCGAGUAGCUAUGAAUCCAUGUGGCACCACAAAAUAUUCCCCCCACUUUAAGCUGUGAGUGCGGGUGACAUGGUGCUGCAGACUGGCUGCCUUCCCCCUGGUUAGUAAUCGAAAACAGGGAAGGCGCCAAAUAGUCCUAAUAGUUUAGCCAUAAAUACAAAUACAAUAUUUUAAAGGUCUGUCGUGGUAAUACUAGUGGUUCAACCCUAUAAUAGAGCAAUUACUUUUGAUAGAAGAUGUAGAUAAAUGUAAAAAUAAAAAACCAACAACAACAAAGAAUGGGUACAAUACAGAAUAAUAAACAAUAGCAAAAUAACUAAAAUAUUAAUGACUGAUGCCCGAGAUAACCUAGUGAGUAGUGUAUCCAAUAGUUUCGGUUCGAAAGGCUGUGUUUCUAAACAAGCUUCUUUCUGCUUUAGGUGCAAUAUACGAGUUACUGUUAAUACCAGUAUUCGAAUAAAGUUUCGGGUGGUAUGCAUUUACAUCGUGCAGAAGACAUGGGCGUCCGCAAAAGUAUUUCCAGGGAGGAGCAAAGUUUUCCAAGGGGAGCAAAGUAGUGUGAAACUGCGAACUGAAUAAAAAAUUCAUAUACAUAUGCUGAAUGAAUAAAGAAAAAAUUGUGUUUCUCAUUUUCCAAGGGGGAAAAGCCCCCUUUGCGGACGCCCAUGGCAGAAGAAGAAGUUAUCGUUGAAGUUUUGUGAGGUUUUAGUAUUUCAGGACUUCUUUCUUGUAGGAAGAGUAAUGUUAGUAACCUUAUUAAUGGAGUUUUUGAUCUUGCGGGAAAAUUGGAAUUAUUAUUAAUUUGGAGAGGUUUUCAGAAGAAGAGAUUUUCUGCGAUUUUAAGGAUAGGGAGAUUUAUUAUAGUUAUAUGAGGUUCUGAUCUUAAAUAAGGAUUCUGUCUUUAUUCUUAACAUAGGAGGCCCUGAUUUGGAAGAAGGAGAAUGCAUUUAAUCCUCGUUAUAGGAGGUUCUGAUCCUAUAAGCAGAGACUGCAUUUACUUUUAAUAUAGGAAGGUUUGAUCUUGAAGGAGACUGCAUUUACUUUUAAUAUAGGAGGGUUUGAUCUUGAAGGAGCCUGCAUUUACUUUUAAUAUAGGAAGGUUUGAUCUUGAAGGAGACUGCAUUUACUUUUAAUAUAGGAAGGUUUGAACUUGAAGGAGACUGCAUUUACUUUUAAUAUAGGAGGGUUUGAUCUUGAAGGAGACUGCAUUUAUUUUUAAUAUAGGAGGGUUUGAUCUUGAAGGAGACUGCAUUUACUUUUAAUAUAGGAAGGUUUGAACUUGAAGGAGACUGCAUUUACUUUUAAUAUAGAAGGGUUUGAUCUUGAAGGAGACUGCAUUUACUUUUAAUAUAGGAGGGUUUGAUCUUGAAGGAGACUGCAUUUACUUUUAAUAUAGGAGGGUUUGAUCUUGAAGGAGACUGCAUUUAUUUUUAAUAUAGGAGGCUCUGAUCUUGGAGAAGAAAACUACAUUUAUUCUUACUAUAGAAUAUUUUGAUUUUGUAGAAGAAUGAUACUUUCUUUUUUGAUGCGUGAAAUUUCCAUGCUUAAGGAGCUUUGCUACUUCUAGUUGCCCAGGUUCUUUGCUAGUCUUAGUUGUCCAGAUUCUUUGUUAGUUCUAGUUGUCCAGGUUCUUUGCUAGUUAUAGUUCUCCAGGUUCUUUGCUGGUUCUAGUUGUCCAGGUUCUUUGUUAGUUCUAACUAUCCAGGUUCUUUGUUAGUUCUAGUUGUCCAUGUUCUUUUUUAGUUCUAACUAUCCAGGUUCUUUGUUAGUUCUAGUUGUCCAGGUUAUUUGUUAGUUCUAGUUGUCCAGGUUCUUUGUAGUUCUAGUUGUCCAGGUUCUUUGUUAGUUCUAAUUGUCCAGGUUCUUUGUUAGUUCUAGUUGUCCAGUUCUUUGCUAGUUUUAGUUGUCGAGGUUCUUUGCUAGUUCUAGUUGUCCAGGUUAUUUGUUAGUUCUAGUUGUCCAGGUUCUUUGCUAGUUCUAGUUGUCCAGGUUCUUUGUUAGUUCUAGUUGUCCAGGUUCUUUGUUAAUUCUAGUUGUCCAGGUUCUUUGCUAGUUCUAGUUGUCCAAAUUAUUUGUUAGUUCUAGUUAUCCAGGUUCUCUUUUCAAACAGAUUUCCCUCUCUUCAGGAAGAUGAGUUUUAUUAUACAAAAUUUUCUUCAUUUCACUUUGAACAACGAAAAGUCUUGACUAAAAUAAACAUUCCAUUAGAUCCAACAAGCAAAUCUUACAAUAUGUAUUAUCAUAAGCAUGAUAAACAAAACCUAUGCUUUUAUUCCACUUAAAUUUGUUUUCGCCACCAAUUGAGCUGCUGGCUUUGAAAAAAAAAAAAGGCUUUAAACGGUGAUGGUUGAUGUAGGGGUAGUAAUCGUUCCAUUAUCUGAAAGAACAACAUCUGUACUUGGGUCCUAGUACAAGCAUCACAUUAACAAAAGUUGUGAAAAAAAAAAAACCGACUCGCUUACCGACAAACCAGAGUUGCGCAACAAACUAACCUAUUCAAAUUUUUUCCUAAUAUGGUGAAGUUAAAGUUGUUUGACAUUAAAUUAUGAUAUAGUACAUAGAUGCGGCAGAGGCGGAUCUCGGUUUUAUUAGAACGAAACCCCCACCCUCCUCCAGGGGGCUAAUGGCUUGCGUGAUUCAUCUACAGAGGGCCGAACACGAUGGGCCGUAUAAAAUCGUAUAGCACGGCUUACUGUACUACUGUCCUGAAAUUUCAGUCACGUUUCGGUUAAGAAGUGUUUUGUACGAAAGUGAACAGCAGAAAUUUUUGUUUGAAUUCAUUACCAGAUCCGAGACAUGUACGUCGUGGUUUCCAAGGCAACACCUCCAGGUUUUUAUUUUUGUUUAGUGAUUUUCGCUCUCCUAGCAACAAGCGGGGAUGGAAUAAACUGCUAUACAUGUAGUUCCCGCAACAAGUCCGACCUCAGUUGUCACGAGCCUUUCGUACCGGCCAACAGCACAUACACUGAAAAUUGCAUGGUGCCAACAGAAGGCCGCAUCAGACUUUCUCCUGCACACUUCUGCCUGAAAGUACUGGGAAAGACAGCCAUGAAUAACGAGGAAGUGGUAAUCCGCGCAUGCGUAAGAGAACCCAUGGAAAACCAGUGUGGAGUGUUCAAGUAUGGUGAAGAUACCUUCAAAGGGUGUAUUGUCACGUGCGAUUACGAUGGUUGUAACGGAA